rnacentral:rRNA from 1 species
UUUUAUGAGAGUUUGAUCCUGGCUCAGGACGAACGCUGGCGGCGUGCCUAAUACAUGCAAGUCGAACGCUUCUUUUUCCACCGGAGCUUGCUCCAUCGGAAAAAGAGGAGUGGCGAACGGGUGAGUAACACGUGGGUAACCUGCCCAUCAGAAGGGGAUAACACUUGGAAACAGGUGCUAAUACCGUAUAACAAUCGAAACC